rnacentral:rRNA from 1 species
CCUACGGGAGGCAGCAGUGGGGAAUAUUGGGCAAUGGGCGCAAGCCUGACCCAGCAACGCCGCGUGAAGGAAGAAGGCUUUCGGGUUGUAAACUUCUUUUGUCAGGGACGAAGCAAGUGACGGUACCUGACGAAUAAGCCACGGCUAACUACGUGCCAGCAGCCGCGGUAAUACGUAGGUGGCAAGCGUUAUCCGGAUUUACUGGGUGUAAAGGGCGUGUAGGCGGGACUGCAAGUCAGAUGUGAAAACCACGGGCUCAACCUGUGGCCUGCAUUUGAAACUGUAGUUCUUGAGUACUGGAGAGGCAGACGGAAUUCCUAGUGUAGCAGUGAAAUGCGUAGAUAUCGAGAGGAACACUCGUGGCGAAGGCGGGUUCCUGGACAUUAACUGACGCUGAGGCACGAAGGCCAGGGGAGCGAAAGGGAUUAGAUACCCGGGUAGUC